rnacentral:rRNA from 1 species
UACGGAGGGUGCAAGCGUUAUCCGGAUUCACUGGGUUUAAAGGGUGCGUAGGUGGGCAGGUAAGUCAGUGGUGAAAUCUCCGGGCUUAACCCGGAACUGCCGUUGAUACUAUCUGUCUUGAAUAUUGUGGAGGUAAGCGGAAUAUGUCAUGUAGCGGUGAAAUGCUUAGAUAUGACAUAGAACACCAAUUGCGAAGGCAGCUUACUACACAGUUAUUGAUACUGAGGCACGAAAGCGUGGGGAUCAAACAGG